rnacentral:rRNA from 1 species
ACGGAGGGGGCUAGCGUUGUUCGGAAUUACUGGGCGUAAAGCGUACGUAGGCGGAUCAGAAAGUAGGGGGUGAAAUCCCAGGGCUUAACCCUGGAACUGCCUCCUAAACUCCUGGUCUUGAGUUCGAGAGAGGUGAGUGGAAUUGCGAGUGUAGAGGUGAAAUUCGUAGAUAUUCGCAGGAACACCAGUGGCGAAGGCGGCUCACUGGCUCGAUACUGACGCUGAGGUACGAAAGUGUGGGGAGCAAACAGG